rnacentral:lncRNA from 1 species
ACAGCUGAGCCUGCUGCGGUUGCUGCUGACUUCAAAGGCACUGCUUCCCUUGGAUCCACAUCAAGGACUGGAAUGAGAAAAGGGUCCCCUGACCUUCUUAUAAUAAGAAAACUGAGGCGCUAUGAUGGUAACCAACUUUCCCAAUGUCACAGAGGUAGUAAGAACCUGAACCAGAGCCUCAGGAAUUCCAAUUUCUUAACCCAGCUCAGGAGUUUGACUUGGAUGUUCAUGUGAUGGAAUGGUGGAGGACAGAAGAAAAUUGUAAAUCACAAGUAUUUCCCAGUUGAUAACUUCUCAAACCCAAGAAUGGCUCAGGUUGGCUCCCGGCACUUGGCAUGUCAUGGUUCUAUCAUGCUAAUUCCAUAUGCCGGAGCUCAUUGAAGUUGUGGCUGGCUAUCUGGAAGGGGAGAAAAAUCCCCCAGACCCUGUGCUGGCUGGAAGUGUUUGGCAUUUGGGGCGAGUGUGGGUGUGAAAAGCAGCUUGUUGUAAUGCUAUAGGAUGUCUGGACCACACUAAGGAGAGGCCCUGGCAACACUGCUAAGAAAUGGAACAUCACUCGUCAAGAAGAGACCCCAUUGCAGGGAAACUCUGAUGGCUGAAGUGCUCAUAUGCAGGUGGGGCUUAGCCAGGAGAACCAUGAGAAUUCCCAGAUGGUCAGUGGGAAGGAUGCUAAGGUGACCACCAUGAUUUUCACUUCCCAGCUCAUGGGACAAUGUCCUCCAGGUCCUAUGACCUGAGGGUUGAAAACCCAGAUAACUUUGAAUUACUUUCUUAUUGCUGUUGUAAAAGUUACCACUAAUGGAAUGGCUUAAAGCAAGGAAAAUUUAUCUUAUAAUUCUGGAGGCCAAAAGUCUGACAUGGGUCUCACUGGGCUAAAAUUAAGACAUCUGGAAGGCGAUGUUCCUUUCUAGAGGCUCUAGAGGAACAUCCAUUUGCUUGCCUUUUCCAGCUUCUAGAGGUGGCCCUCAGUCCUCGGCUUAUGGCCCCUUCCAUCUCCAAAGCUGAUAAUGGCCCAUUGAGUCUUUCUUACAUCGCUUUACUGACAUUGAGUUUUCUGCCUCUCUCUUCCACAUACUGGGACCCUUGUGAUUAUGCUUGGCCAAGGACAAGCUUUCUAUCCCAAAGCCAACUGAUUAGCACCUUUUUUGCUUCCUUAAUUCUCCCUCACCAUGUAACAUAUGCACAGGUUCAAAGGAUCAGGACUUGGACGUCUUUGGGAGGCCAUUACUCUGCCUAUCACAGGCCACAGAUGGAAAGGGUGGAAACCCCUAUCACGAACAUUCUUGGCCCAGUUGAGGGCCUGCUAAGCAGCUGGUGGUCUCUGCCACAUGCUGGAGAGAAAUCGUUGGAGACCUGCCUCAGAGAAAACACUGGAAAUCACAUAAAUGGUUUUUAAAGAACUACAGCUACGUCCAUCUUCUUGAGUCAAAAAACUCAUUUCUGCUCCCUGUCAGAACCUAAAAAAGAACCAUCCUGUGGGGUCAAAUCAUUGACACAGGCAGCCUGGAAUCCUUCUGAACAGCGACUACAAGGGACAGUUUGUAGGAGAACAGCUUCAAAAGGCACUUCGAUAAUUGUUUGAGGCAUGAAAAAGGCAGGUUUCAGCUUUCCUAACUGGAAUGGAGUCUCUUCAAUUCUGCCCAAGAGAUUUGGCCUGAAAAGAUUGUGCCUUCAACCUCAUCCUGGAAAUUCAGGUAGCAUUUUUCGGUUUUCUCUCUCAGGAGACAGAAGCUGACACCCCACAUGACUCCCAUCUUGUCUGUAAUCAGCAACCAGGGCUUUGACCUGCACUGUCCUCCUUUCCAGCAGCAGAAAGGGGUCAAACUGAGCCAGGUCUAGUAAGAGCUAUCUCAGAGAACCAGAACACGGAUUUGCUUUUGUUCUCUCAGGACAGCAAACCCAAGGGAGGGCAGACUCAGGCUCACAUCCCACUCACACGGCCCUGAGUGUGGACUGGGAGCAAGACGCUGCUUCAAAUUUCAGCCUGCCAGCUGUGUGUCCACAGGCAGCUAACAAACAUCUCUCAUCCAGCCACAGCCUCACCCAGAGAAGAGUAACCGACCCAACCUUAUAGCGUUGCUGUGAAGUCAGUUAACAUAGGGCUGAAGUUUGCUGUGAAGUCACAGCAACCCUAUGUUAUGGUUAACUUCAUUUAACAUAGGGUUAAUGUAGGUUUAAUAUGAGGGGCUAACAAUUACAUAUAAAUGUUAGCUACUGUAAUUGUCAGAUGCAUGGCCACUGGUGCCAAAGGAACCACUCUGAAAAUUCUGGAGGUUUUCAAGACUCUGGGGAUUCAGAAAUGGAGGAAGAAAAGAAGCUGCUGCAGGAACAGUGCAGGGAAGCUAGAAGGGAACAGGGUGGCAGCCCCAGCUCAAAAGGUCUUCCCUCUCAAGGGCACCACCUGAAACGUAUAAGGUUGCCUGAAAUUCCACAGAUUAGACAUUUAGUUUUGCUUCUUUACAACAAUAUAUCUCAAAGAGAACUGGCUGGUUAAACAUUAUUCAUACAUCUGUGUGAACUGGUUUAUUUGCUCUCUUCCUAAUACCUACACACUUAGAAACUCCAGGGAGCAAAGAGCUUGGGUCUGAGUUAGGGACUAGGAAAGGAACAGAAAGUAAUAACUUAGAGUCAUGAAGCACUGUCCAAGACAUGGCCAGCUGUUCAGACUCUGAGAGCCCCAGUUCAAUUCACUGGCUGGCCUGCAGACAGCCUGCCUGGCUCAUGAGAAGGGAGGAGUGGGGAGUCAGGACCUGGAGGUCCUGAGGUGCUUUUCUGAUGUUGGUACUUUCACGUUGCCCACUCAUAAAAUACCCUUUGUAAAUGGCUUCUGGGACUCCCUCCUCUCUGGGAGUGCCUCCUUCGUGAGCUCUGCAUAUGGGUGGCCCAGAGAGCAGGCCCCAGCUGUUGCCUCUCCUCAGACAUUCCAUCCCUAUGACCUCAUCCAGGUGCGGGCUUGAGUCACCACUCCACUACAGACUCUCUUGAUUUGGAUAUUCAGUUGCCUACUUGACAUCUCCCUUUCAAGUACCUCAAACAAAACGCUCCAUGUGCCCUUACCCCUACCCCCUGCCACCCAAAACAAUCCAAACAAAAACUCCAUCAGCCUGGUCUCCAUGGACAUGUUCUUGAUGCAGUCAACCUUUCAGGACUAUUGACGUUUCUCUUUGUACCUUGUACUUUUCUUUCACAGCCCUUAGGACAAUGUAUAAUCACUUACUUAUUUUCAUAUUGACUUGUGUAAUACCUGUUUCCCAAUAGACUGUAAAAUUCAUGAGAAUGAGACCAGGUGGUUUGUCUCCUGUUCUUCCCCACACCCUAACUGGCACACAGUAGGUCCUCACUAUGUAUUUGUUGAAUGGAUAGUAUUAAAGUGAAGAUGGGUCCUAGGGUGAGGAAGAGUUUCUGGGCACAAAGAAAGGCCAUGAAACCUGGCAAAAAAUACAUAUGAGCUCAUAUCUUGUUUUCCUGAGGAGCUAUUUGGUUUCUUCCUCCUCCUAUUUGAUGAAGUUAUAUGUUUAAUUAAAGCCCUGAACAGUUAGAACAAAUGUAUAGGAAAUGAUCACAUGAUCAUGAACUUAGCAAACAGCUACAAGCUUAACUGUCUAAUAUGGGGAGUGCCUAAAUGAUAUGUAUCAAUAUGGUUGACUCUCAGUUAUCCAUUCCAGUGGAUAAUCUAAUAGCCAGUAAUCUAAUAGUUCAUAAUUUACUUGCCUAUAAUCCCAUAAGUUUUACAUGUGGCUUUGGAUUAUGUUUUGGAAUUUGCACCAGGGUAUGGGGGCUCUGAUGGUUUAGGAAUUCACAGUACUUUGAGCAUAUAUGUCCUAUGUCACUACCCCAGUUGCCCAUUAAGGAUUCCUCUGGGUUCCAACUGCAUGUGGAAAAAAUACUGCAUUGUGCUUAGGAGGAAAGUGCAUUGGUCUUUGUUUGUUUGUUUGUUUGUUUUGUUUUGGCUGUAAAAAUUGGGGUCCAAACCCCAGCUCUUGCAUUUACUAACUAGCUCUGUUUUCACACUACUUGUCCCCGUCUAAACCACUCCCUCAGGCAGGUGCAAAACAAGGCGAAAGCAGAGUUAAGCUCCUUAUGAACUUUCUGUUUUACAUCUAGGCAAAGAAACGUUCUCUCUUCUCCUUUUUUUCUCUUUUUCUUUCUGCCUUAGAAGACCUUCUCUUCCAGCUCAGUGGGAUGAAGUCAACAAGGUCUUUGCUUUACAAAAUCAUGCCUGAUUGGGAAAGAUCCUGAAAAUGUCUAGACAAAUCUGAAAGAAAAAUGCUGUCCUGGGCAAUCUAAUACAGAAAACUGACUCUGGGCUUUCCCUGGGCUCCACUGGUCCCACCAAUGGUGCAAAUGACGGUGACUUUCUCCACGUUCUACAUACAUCUGGGCAUUUGCUCAUGCUGUCUUGGGUCAAAGUCUCAAGUUGGAAAAUGGAUUCAUCCUGAGAUCCAAGGCAGAACCAGUCGUGUUGUCAGUGGGUAGCUGAGACCCCAAAAUUCCCACCUCUUUUCCUGUCAUGAAGUUUCUAUCUCGAGAGAAAACAGCUGUCCAUUCUUAGGCCAACUGGGACUGAAGCCAGCUGUUCCUUCCAGAUGCCAAGAGUCAGAUGCACGCCCACUCUUUUCUCCUAUUCCCUAAGGCUGAAGUCUCAAACUUUAUUGAAUUUAUUAAUAACCUCAGGGACUUGCUAAAAAGCAUUUCCCCAGGCUCUACCUCCAGAGAAUCUGAUUCAGUUAAUUCAGGUUGGCCAGGAAAUCUGCAUGUUAAAUAACAACCCUCCUGCCCCACCUCAUUUCUGAUCUCUAGGAAAUUCCUAUGUAAUUGGUCUGAGAAUCAUACUUUGAGUGACAAUAGCCACAGUGGAGGCACUGGUGUGCCGGUAAAUGUUUAACAACUGGCUCUGGAGGUGGAAAAGCCUGGUUUGUAGCUUGCUGAUUUCUGUGGUAUAAAUAUUCCCACCUUGGUCAACUCAAGCUACAAAUAUGACAUCAUGAUUGUGAAGUUGGGAAAAGGUUUGUGCAAUCAGUUCUGAUAAGCCCAUAGUAACUGAUUUCAGCAUGCCCACUGGGUGGAAGUGGCCGGAUGCCUCCAAAUGCUGGUUCCUAGGCUCUGGCAUAGAAGGGCCACUGUUUGGUCCAGAAUGUCACAUCCCCUAAUUUUUUUUCCCUAAAUCCUUCGUUUUUUGAAUGGUUUGUUUUGGUUACUGGCUCUCGGAGACCUUGAGGGGUUCCAAGCCAGAGAACAAAGAAGGGGAAGAGAAGGAGCUCCAAGAAAGAAAAUGCAAUUAGUGUAGGAUGUUGGCCUCAGCUACGCUGCUAACCUUGUUCAACCCAGCUUUCAGCAGGGAAGGGGUUUCAAACACCUGUCUCUGCCUUCAUUUGAUAAGCUUUCUGGUCAAGUCACAUUAACCUGAUCCUGCUGACCUGGAGAAGGAUGAAAAGGCUGAGUGUCGGGGACCUGAGGGGAUGAAAGUGGAUGGGGGAGGCCUGGGGGGGGGGCUCAUAUGACCUGGGGUCACCAUCGGCUUAAGGCUUCCCCUUUGUCUCCCUGCUCUGGCCCCAUGUUUGAAGGUUCUGGUGAUUUCCUCCCGCCCCCCGACUAGGCGAACAGAUGUGGAAAGAUCUCCAGUUCCCAGGGCUCAGGACACAACUGCCUGUUGUUUCCCGCCUGCAGACCGGGGCCUGCAGUCACAGGCAGAACAGCUACGCAAUCACUUGCCAAAGAGCUGAGCCCAGUCAGGUGUGGGGUGCAAGCCUACUCUGCCUUUUGGGAGUGAGAGGAUGUGUAAGCCUAGCUGAACAAGAAUGGAAAACAACCAUGUUCCCGCCCUGUUGUGCUCUAAGUUCACUGUGUAGGAAUUCAGAGGCACUUUAGCAGAGGCAAUGACUUGAGCUCUUCCACGGCAAUACAAUGCUCACAGGUGCCAUGACCAUUUGAACAAACGCUGCCUUCUGGGCCAGCUGCUUCUCUUGUCCCACACUGCAGGUACUGCCAACGUGAGAACUUUGCCCACUUCUAGACUGGAGUUGAGGGCACCCUGCUACUCUAAAAAGGAUGUUUUCCUCAGCCCACUGAGCUUUCAGGGCUCACUAGAUCAAGGCGGUAGAAGAGUUACAAAGGAAGGGGUGCAAGUGUUAGCUUCCUUAUGUACCUUAUUUAUUCAACACUGAUAGUUUCAGAAAUGGCUUAGAGCCUAGCUUCCUCACCAAUAUCCAUAUACCUUUGACAAGUGGGACAAAUAAAAGCAUAAAAAUAUCUCCCUUAAAUAAAACGCCUUUCUCAUAUCUAGUCCAUCUACAAGAAUAAGCUGAUACCUAAUGAUAUGUUUUCUAGUUUAUGCAAUAAAUGGUGGUGAUUACAAUUUUGCACAAAGACCUGGUACAUAUACGUCUUAGCAUGUAGCACAUUUACCUGUAAAUGCUACAAGUAGCAGAAUGACAGCCAUCUCCCUAAAGCACUGAUUCUCCAAGUGAGGUCUGCAGUCCCCUGGGAUCCCUGAGACCCUAUCAGGGUGUCUGCAAGCUCAAAAUUAUUUUCAUAAUUUUGAUAAUAUUUCAUAAUAAUACCAAGAUGUUAUUUGCCUUCUUCACUGUGUUGACAUCUGGGUAAAAUUGCUGGUGCUAGACUAUGCUGGCAGUCACGGCAUUCUUCACUGCUACAAACUUACAGGGGGAAUAAAUGCCAGUUUCACCAAAGAAUGUCCUAAAUUAGACAGUAAAAAUUAUUAAUUUUAUAAAACCUUGCCCAAAAGGUACUUUUUCUCUCCUCCCCUCCUCUCCCCUCUCUGCCUCCCUUCCCCUUCCCCUUCCCUUUCCUUUCCUUCCCUUCCCUUCCCUUUCUUUUCUUUGUGUGAUGACUUGGAAACAAAGUAUCAAGCAUUUCUGGUGCAUCCUGAAGUAUGAUGGUCAUCUGGAGGAAAAGCACUUGUGUGAGUGUCCUGAGUUGUGAUCUGCACUAGUCACUUUCAUGGAACACAAUGUUUACUCAAAAGGACCAAAUAACCAUAGUUAUUCAGAUUUGGUUAUUUGACAGGCAUUUUCUCAAAAAUGAACAAACUGAGCUCAUCACUUCAAGAAAGACAAUAAUUAACAGUAUUUUCUGCCAAAAUAGAAGUAUAAAGCAAAAAUUAGAAUUUUUAGAAACCUGUAUCUGCCAUAGUGAACUUAACACCUUCCCAACACUUACAGAGGUUUUUGAUGAGAUCAGUGAUAUUAACAAAUAAGAACUUUUAGUUUUCAUCAAGAAAUAUAUCAAAUUUGAAAAAUCUGCAUGACUUAGUGAAGCAAUAUUUUCCAAAUGACCCAUGCAUAUUAUUUCAAAAUCAUGCAUGAGCAAAAGAUCUAUUCAGAGUACAAGCCAGAUAACUGAAUUUUAACAUAACUGAGCACAAAAAGUUCAUUGAUAUAGUUUCAGAUUCCACAUUGCAACUAACCUUAGUAAUCUACUAUUGGUUGAGUUUUGGUAUAAUGUCAAAGAAGAAUAUUCACAAUUAUCUGAAAAGACUAUUAAAAUAUUCCUCCCUUUUCCAACAAAAUAACUACGUGAGGCUGGGUUUCCUUCGCAUACUUUAUCCAAAACAACAUUAUCACAGCUGAUUGAAUGCAGAAGCCGAUAUGAGAAUCCAGCUGUCUUCUAUUAAGCCGGACAGUCAAGAGAUUUGCAAAAAUGUAAAACACUGUCACUCUUCUCACUUGGAUUUUUUAAAAAAGUUAUUUUUAUAAUAAAAUGUUAUUUUUAACGUUUAAAUGGAUUAAUGAAUAUAUGCAUUUUAAUAAAUUACUAAAUGUUAAUUUAUUCAUUAACAAUGAAUAAAUAUUAAAUGAACAAAUAUUAUUUUUGGUUUUAGUUUUUAAUAUGGUAAAUUAUUUAAUUAUCUAUUGCUGUAUAGCAAAGUAUCCUAAAACCUAGUGGCUUAAAACAACAAUAAUCACUUGAGUUGCCAGCCUAAAGAAAUGGGUCCAGCUUCCGGGCAGGGCGUGGUGGCUCACGCCCGUAAUCCUAGCACUUUGGGAGGCCGAGGUGGGCGGACCACAAGGUCAGGAGAUCGAGACCAUCCUGGCUAACAUGGUGAAACCCCGUCUCUACUAAAAAUACAAAAAAUUACCCGGGCAUGGUGGUGGGUGCCUGUGGUCCCAGCUACUCGGGAGGCUGAGGCAGGAGAAUGGCAUGAACCUGGGAGGCAGAGCUUGCAGUGAGCCGAGAUCAUGCCACUGCACUCCAGCACUCCAGCCUGGGCGACAGAGUGAGACUCUGUCUCAAAAAAAAAAAAAAAAAGAAAAGAAAAGAAAGAAAGAAAGAAAGAAAUUGGUUCACCUGGGUGGCUCAUACCUGUAAUCCCAUCACUUUGGGAGGCUGAGGUGAGAUGAUCAUUUGAGGCCAGGAGUUUAAAACAAGCCUGGGCAACAUAGCGAGACCCCAUCUCUAAAAGAAAAAAAAAAAAGCCAGGAAUGGUGGUGCACACCUGUAGUCCUAGCAACUUGAGAGACUGAGGCUGAAAGAUCACUUAAUCCCAGGAGGUUGAGGCUACAGUGAAUUGUGAUUGCACCACUGCACUCCAGCCUGGAUGACAGAGGGAGACCCUAUCUCUCUAAAAAAAAAAAAAAAAAAAAGAAGAAGAAGAAGAAAGGAAGAAAAGAAAUUAUUGGUCCAUAUGUCUGAAAUGUCUUUGCUGUCUAUCUUUGUCCCGUUGCUCAUAGUUAGACCAUCAUUUAGGCAACUUCUUGCUCACUUACCCUCCACAAGCUUGGACACAGGUCCUUCUAGCUCUGUUUCUUCUGAACUUGAGAUUACUGGAGACUCCCUUAUGAGUUUUAACACUCCCCAUAACCUUUGUAUGAUUUGUACAUAGAAAAUACCCCCAAAAUUAAAAAUAAAUUAUUAAACUAAAGGAAAGGUUAGUAAGAUUGCUGGACAUAAAAUUAAUAUUUGAAAAUAAAUUAUAUUCCAAUAAGAUACACAAAUGGCCAACAAGCACAUAAGAAAUAUCUUUAGUAUCACCUGCUCUCUGCAGCUCCCAGGCACACCUCCCCAGGAGCAGAGGUUUUCUGGGCUAGGUCAGGCCCUCCCAUUACCUGCUUUGUAGAAGACAGGGAAGAAAAUCACUCACUGUAUGUAAUUUUAUUUAAGAGAGUGCAAGAAUGUCGUGUUUGAGCCUUUCACUCUUUUUUCUUUGUAUUUCUUAUCGGAAAUGAAAGAAAACAGCCAGUGAGAUAGGAUCUCAGGUCUAGAAUUCCUAGCAGGUAAUUUGGGAGUUGAAAACAAAUCUCCCCUGAAAUGCAUUAAGCAGGUGAAGGGGAUUCCAGUUUCAACUCUGAAACCACACCUUAUCCUGGCCUGGCAAAUAACUUCCUUCCAGCCCCAGGCAAAUCCCAACUUCCACCCGCCAAAUGCCUGCAGUUAAUAAACGUUUAAGCAACAACAAAAACCCCAAGUGGAAAAUGGAAGACUGAUUCGAGGCUGAGAUACUAGAAGGGCUGCCUGGGAGCCCCUCUCUGAGAGCCGCGCCCACAGGAGGAACUUUUAGCCAGGGAAGCCGGGGCCUGGAGCUGGGGAACCCAAGGCAUGAUGUCUUUCAGAGCGUCAGAGCAGGGUAAAUAUCUGAUUUGAGUCAAAUGAUUAUUUUUCUUGAUCAGAUUUGUCCACUUGUUUCAUUGGAACUCCAUACCACUAGCCAUGGUCAAACCCUUCAAAAUGGCCAAAAUCUCCAGACUGCAUUAUUGGGCCACAGUAGGUCCUGCUUCCUGCUAAGUGCUGCAAGACUGGAGUUUCCAAGCUCUGGUCUAGAUAGGUCAGCUGAGGGUUGGUAAGGAAGUUCUCAUGGGUCCAGAGAGAACUAAGAAAAAAAGGAUCAUGUUAUGCUGUGGAAAUGUGCUCCGCGGUAAUUUUUAUUCCCAUUUUACAUAUCAGAAAACAGAGGCUCAGAGACGUUGAAUGACUUGCCACAUAGCUAGUCAGUAGCAGAGCGAGGAUGGAGAUUCACAUGAUCAAUCACAGUGACCACCGUUUGCUGAGCACCUGUAGUGAGACAGGCAAACACCUUGUGCUUUGUGUGUGUUAACUUGUUCAGUUCUCGUGGAUUGCUUCCUUUUUAAAGAAAUGAAACUGUUCAACAGAGCUUCCUGCCAUAAGGGAAAUCUUCUACAUCUCACGUCCAAUAGAUAGCCACAAGCCCCAUGUUGCUAUUCAGCCCUUGAAAUGUGGUAAGUGAAACUGAGGAACAAAAUUUUAAAAUUUUAUUUCACUUAAAUUGAUUUAAAUGUGAACAGCCACAUGUGGCUGGCAGCUCUGGGAGGUUCAGUAGCUUUUCCAAAAGCCAGCGAAGUGAUGAGGUGAGGGUUGUGUUGUGGGGCUGAUUGAGCCCCAAAUCCAUGUGUUUCCCCCUUUCUCUCUGCUCCCCUGUGAGGUGGCCUGCCUUUUCCAAAGUAAAAGACACUGGGAAGGAAACUGACCAGACAGUAUACAGUCAGCCAAAAAUAAAGCCAGACCCCAAAGGUGGGGUCUGUAUUUGAGUCUGCUUCUUCCGAAUGUGUCUGGAAGCCCCCAUGGGUGGCCAAACAGCCCAGCUGGGGGCUUCAGACCCUGCACCAGUAACUUCCCAGAGCCCACCAUGGCCCAUUUGGCUGGGGCUUAUAUGACUCACAGGUUCCAACCCUACAAUUUAAACUGCAGCAUUUCCUUUUUCUGGGCUUAACACUAAUUGGUAGAGGUAGUGAGCUCCCAGGCCCAGCCUCACCCUGUCGAAACAUGUAGCUCUCAACAGUUCCCACUGGAAGCACCACCCAUGAGGUGCAGCUACCAUUGCCAUGUGUCUGAAUGCCAGUGUUUAACCCAAGCUGGCCCAUUGUUGUUCCAUGAGCCUCUCUAUAGCCUCUGAAUGUUCAUCUUU